rnacentral:rRNA from 1 species
AUGCUUUCACAACUUGACUUCAAAAUAUUUGGUUUGGAGACCAUCAAAGAUCAAUAUGUGCAUGAUGCUGAUUUUAAAGAUGUAAUGCAGAAUUGUAAAGAAGGAAGAAUGUGGAACAAGUUUGUCGUUAACGAUGGAUUUGUGUUUCGUGCUAACAAGCUAUGCAUUCCAGCUAGCUCCGUUCGUCUUUUGUUGUUGCAGGAGGCGCAUGGAGGAGGAUUAAUGGGACACUUUGGCGUGAAGAAGACGGAGGACGUACUUGCUACACAUUUCUUUUGGCCAAGGAUGAGACGGGAUGUUGAGCGGGCUGUUUUGAAGAAUAAUAAGAAAAUGUGGGAGGAAUGCUUGCCUCAUAUUGAAUUUGCUUAUAAUCAUUCAUUGCAUUCUACUACUAAGAUGUGCCCUUUUGAAGUUGUGUAUGGUUUCCUACCUCGUGCACCUAUUGAUUUGUUGCCUCUUCCAUCUUCGGAGAAGGUUAAUUUUGAUGCUAAACAACAUGCUGAAUUGAUUUUAAAAAUGCAUGAGUUAACUAAGGAAAACAUUGAGCGUAUGAAUGCUAAAUAUAAACUUGCUGGAGAUAAGGGUAGAAAACAUGUUGUGUUUGCACCUGGAGAUCUUGUUUGGUUACAUUUGCGUAAGGAUAGAUUUCCUGAUUUGCGCAAAUCAAAGCUAAUGCCACGUGCUGAUGGUCCCUUUAAGGUGUUAGAGAAAAUAAAUGAUAAUGCAUAUAAACUUGAGAUGCCUGCAGAUUUUGGGGUUAGUCCCACUUUUAACAUUGCAGAUUUGAAGCCUUAUUUGGGUAAGGAAGAUGAGUUUCCGUCGAGGACAACUUCAUUUCAAGAAGGGGAGGAUGAUGAGGACAUCAAUACCAUUGUUACACCCACAGCCCCUACUGCUACAUAUACGGGACCAAUUACUAGAGCUCGCGCACGCCAAUUAAAUUACCAGGAAACAGACCCUCGUGGUUAG